AUUGAACCCGCGCAUGGUGGAUUCACAAUCCACUGCCUUGAUCCACUUGGCUACAUCCGCCGGCGAACGACGGGA
rnacentral:tRNA from 1 species